rnacentral:rRNA from 1 species
GCCCUACGGGGGGCAGCAGUGGGGAAUAUUGCACAAUGGGGGAAACCCUGAUGCAGCGACGCCGCGUGAGUGAAGAAGUAUUUCGGUAUGUAAAGCUCUAUCAGCAGGGAAGAAAUACUGACCUUACGGUCAGCAGACGGUACCUGACUAAGAAGCCCCGGCUAACUACGUGCCAGCAGCCGCGGUAAUACGUAGGGGGCAAGCGUUAUCCGGAUUUACUGGGUGUAAAGGGGGCGCAGACGGCAAUGCAAGCCAGGAGUGAAAGCCCGGGGCCCAACCCCGGGACUGCUCUUGGAACUGCAUGG